AAGGGGACAAAAAUUUCUGUUGGUGGUCCAUCUGAAAGUCUACAUCAUCAGAGAGGAACCGUAGAGAGUAAAAAAACCGUAGAGAAUGAGAAACGAUUUUCUCUCAUUUCUUACUUUCUUCUAUUUCUUUAUGAUCUUUAUAAACAAUACUCCAUUUUGCGUAUAAUUAUGCACUCCAACUUGAAUGGUACCACCAAGCAACGUUGCUUUCGCUAUACUUCAAAUGGGUUUGAGAAGUAAUCUCUUGUGAAGAAGAUAGACUGAUUGAUUUUAAAGACGAAGAAGAAAGUAGAGAGAUUGGCCGUCAUUGAAGCACACCAACUUGGCUUUAAUUUCCAUUUUCCCUUCGAACCCAAUUGUUAUUUCUCUCUGAUUCAUCUCCGUUUCCCCUUUGAUUGUGAUCGAUUGGGUUUGUAAUCCCACAUUUCACGAGUUGGGGUUUAUUGGGAAUUUCGUGAAAAAGGGGAAUUUGGGUAGUUUAAUAGGAAUCUCCUUUUUGGAGUUUGAGGUGGGUUGUUGCUAAUUUUGGAAGUGAUUUGGUGAAUUGUGAAGUUUUUGUUGCUGUAAAUGGAGAUUAAAGUAGGGACUGUAGGUGGAUCCAGUCCAAUCGGGCGUCAAUCGGAUGAUACUGGACUUGAAUCGCUGCAAUUCUGUGAAGAAAUUCAGGGGUUGAUGACGAUUCCGGCGGAAAAUGCUAGCUCUUUCACCGCACUUCUGGAACUCCCGGCGACGCAGGCUUUAGAGCUACUUCACUCGCCGGAUUCCGCGACGGCGGCGGUUGUGAACGAUGACUCCGUUCAUCACUGUAUCAAAGACGUUCCGAAACCCUACUUUAGUGCCUUCAAUUGCAAUUUGACCUUUCCGACGAACUCGGGUCUAAUUGAACGUGUUACCAAGCUUUCGGUUUUGGCUAAAGAGCAUUCGCCGGAGACGACAAGCUCAGUGCCGUUGAAUUCGAGUGUGAAUUUGGAGAAGGUGAAGAACGAGCCCACCACUGACACCGAUUCAAACCCUAAUCCCUUGCAGACUUUAAUCUCUGAUCCGACGGUGGAGAACACGAACCAGAGGUCGGCGAAGAGGAAGGAACGCGAGAAAAAGGGAAGAGGGUCAACAAAGAAGAGCAAGAAUGAAAGCAACGAGGAUGCUGAAAAGCUUCCUUAUGUUCAUGUCCGAGCUCGCCGUGGUCAAGCGACUGAUAGCCAUAGCCUAGCAGAGCGAGCAAGGAGAGAGAAAAUCAAUGCUCGGAUGAAGCUACUUCAAGAACUGGUCCCUGGAUGCAAUAAGAGAUUGCUUGAAACCUCAGCAAUUUUCAGUUUGAUUGGCUGGAAAAUUUAGUUCCAAAGGAAUGCUAGCUGGAGUUACCUUGAAGCAGUUGGGGGACAUCUAUAGUGGGCAUGUCGAAUCAGACGAGGGUCCCAUAUGCUUGUUGGAUUGCUGAUUCUCUUUUGAGGGUCCAUAGUACUCUCCAUCUGUUUUGAGUUAGGCAUCCAUCAUAAAUUGGGUGACGAAUAUAGGAUGACAGAAGAGCAACUUCUAUCAGAGUAUAUGCAUAUAUACCAAACUUCCCUCCACCUAACUUCUCAGAGAUGUGAAAAACGUGAAGAGUCUUUAGAAUAAUACCCAUCCCUUUAGCUUUUAAAGAUUGAUUUUGAGAUUUGAGAAUAGCCAAUACAUAGCACGUUAAGUUUUGUUUUUAUUGUUGAAUUGCGAGACGUUUUGUAAUAAAGGGAUUGAGACUGACCUUGCCUCAAUGGUUACUCUUCAUGUGAUUAAACCACGAUUCAUAUUUUCUGAAGAUUCAGAAAGUAGAUAGAGGAAGAUUAUUGGUUUACUCGGUAAUUAAUGUCAGUCGGAUUGGAUGAUCUCAGGCACAGCUCUAGUGUUGGAUGAAAUCAUCAACCAUGUACAAUCACUGCAGCGUCAAGUGGAGUUCUUGUCAAUGAGACUUGCAGCAGUUAACCCCAGAGUUGAUUUCAACAUCGAAAGCAUAUUGGCUACAGAAAAUGAACCCAUACUCGAAAGCAACUUUCCAACGAUGGUUUCGCCAUUGAUGUGGCCAGAAAUCCCC